AUUGUACGCUGGCGGCAUGCCUUACACAUGCAAGUCGAACGGUAACAGGUUAAGCUGACGAGUGGCGAACGGGUGAGUAAUGUAUCGGAACGUGCCCAGUCGUGGGGGAUAACUGCUCGAAAGAGCAGCUAAUACCGCAUACGACCUGAGGGUGAAAGCGGGGGAUCGCAAGACCUCGCGCGAUUGGAGCGGCCGAUAUCAGAUUAGGUAGUUGGUGAGGUAAAGGCUCACCAAGCCGACGAUCUGUAGCUGGUCUGAGAGGACGACCAGCCACACUGGGACUGAGACACGGCCCAGACUCCUACGGGAGGCAGCAGUGGGGAAUUUUGGACAAUGGGCGCAAGCCUGAUCCAGCCAUGCCGCGUGCGGGAAGAAGGCCUUCGGGUUGUAAACCGCUUUUGUCAGGGAAGAAAAGGUUCUGGCUAAUACCUGGGACUCAUGACGGUACCUGAAGAAUAAGCACCGGCUAACUACGUG
rnacentral:rRNA from 1 species